GUGCUUCAUAAAUGCUUUUCUCCACUUAGGGUUCCGUUAGCAACCCUCCAUUAAGUACUAUAGGAUGAACAGUGCAUUUAUCGGUGUGGGAUGGACGGAACCCUAAUGGCGAUGGCAUUUAUGGGACA
rnacentral:pre_miRNA from 1 species